rfam:Schistosoma mattheei strain Denwood, Zambia genome assembly, scaffold: SMTD_scaffold0001909
AUCCGACUGACGAGUCCUAAAUAGGACGAAACGCGUGUCAAAUUGGAG